rnacentral:rRNA from 1 species
GAAUAUUGGUCAAUGGACGCAAGUCUGAACCAGCCAUGCCGCGUGGAGUGAUGAAGGCCCUCUGGGUUGUAAACUUCUUUUAUUUGGGAAGAAACCGGACUUUUCUAAGGCCGUUGACGGUACCAGAUGAAUAAGCACCGGCUAACUCCGUGCCAGCAGCCGCGGUAAUACGGAGGGUGCAAGCGUUAUCCGGAUUCACUGGGUUUAAAGGGUGCGUAGGUGGGCAGGUAAGUCAGUGGUGAAAUCUCUGAGCUUAACUCAGAAACUGCCGUUGAUACUAUCUGUCUUGAAUGUAGUGGAGGUGAGCGGAAUACGUCAUGUAGCGGUGAAAUGCUUAGAUAUGACAUAGAACACCGAUUGCGAAGGCAGCUCGCUACA